AGAGCAACAAUUCUUAAUAGUUUGCAAACAAAAAUUGUCUGAUAAAGAGGAGGAACAAUCACAACACAAUAAUAAUCUGAAUAAGUAAUAGAUUUUGUUUAUUAAUAUCCAAUGCAAAGAUGAAUACAGCAUGUUAGCAUACAAAUUUGCAUACAAUUUCUUUUGUACAAAAGAACAAUAAUUAUUUAACAGAUAUACAGAAAAAUUGUCUGAAAGCCAAUAGUUGCGAAGAACAGUCAACCUACAAACGAAAAAAUAACAGUAACCUAACAAAUCUUGUCAAUAAAAGUAAUAUGAAAUCAAUAAAAAAUUAAACGAAGAGCUGCAGACCAUAAACGUCUGCAGGUGCUCUUUCGCAGAGGGGCGUUACAACGAUGACAACGAAAUUAUUUGAUACCGAAGAGAUUGGGGGUGGUGGUACACCGCUGAUAGUGGGGAACAUCCAUGGGGGUAGGGAGUACAACCGGAACAUCCCUUCUCUCUAUUUUCAUACUAACCAUGCAGCAAGAGAAUGGACGUUCCAAGCAAACUAUCCCAGAUAACUGUGUUACUUCGUAUUUUGAAAUGUUGCAAAUAUAAAGUGCUCCAAAAAUUCACAGUAAACAUCAAUUUUGUAAAUAAAAAUCGAGAAAUUAAAUUUCAAGCUUAAUUUUGAUAUGUAAAUAAAGUAGCAUUAAUGUGUUACAUGUAAAAUAAGUGUUGAAAGUGAACAAAAUGUUUGGUUCUAAUUCUUGAUCCUUAGAUCAAUAAAACAUUUCGUGAUGGUAAAAAAACGAUACCAGAGUAAAAUUCAGAAAUAAGAUAUUGGGAAAGUGACUGUUUUAUUUUUAUAUCGUAUAAUUUUAUAUUGGUGACUAAAUGUCUGCGAAAGCAGAUGGACCGUCAUCUCCGCGACAAUUUUUUGCUCGAAUUUAUGGUCAUCUUGAGACGAAGACGGUCGACGGUAAUAAAAAUGAGGAGCGAUCGAAAUCGAAUUCGAGCACCGAUUUUUCUACCGACGUUCUGUGCGAUAGAAACACGGAAACGGAUGUUUCGUGCAAUUCUCCGGAUAACGAGAGCACUCCAGUAUCACGUACAAAAGAAGCAUUUUCGGAACGAAACGAAGAACAAAACAAUAAAAAAACCCAACUAAGAAACGAAAAAGAAGAGAACUCAAGCUUCUUCAAUUUACGAUUACCACUCAUUCACGAACUUCUACCAAGAACACUCAGUGAUCCAUUACGUUUGACACACAUAACAUAUCCGAUCACAUUAUCGUCACAUUUUCAUAACUUAUCAUACCUUCCAUCUACGGAACAUCAUCUACAAGGAUUCUCCGCUUUUUUAGCUAGAAAAAGAAGGAAAGAAGGACGACCUCGAAGGCAAAGAACAACCUUCAGUGGCGAACAGACCUUGAGACUAGAAGUCGAGUAUCGUAGAGGGGAAUAUAUUUCUAGGGGACGAAGAUUUGAACUUGCUACGUCUCUACAGCUGACGGAAACGCAAAUUAAAAUUUGGUUUCAAAAUCGACGAGCUAAGGACAAAAGAAUUGAGAAGGCACAGCUUGAUCAAUAUUAUAGGAAUUUCGCAGUCUCCAAUGGAGUUCUAAAUUUACCAAUUGAUAGUAGAAAUGGAUUUUGUGAACUUUGCUUCUACAAAAAAGCUUUUGGAUCUACAGUUAAUCAUUCGUGCGUUUCAAUGAAUCCUGUUAUUGAAACAUUAACAAAACAGCCACACUGUGGUAGCAAUGAAAAGGAAACAUCAGAAAAUUCAUCCAACAUAUUAUUUUCUAUUUGAAAAUUUGGGAACUGUUGCAUAAUUAAGUUUGAAGAACGCCGAUAACAAGUAAUUUAUGCUGCAAUGAUGACAAUUUCAUGCUUUUAAAAAAUUAUUUAUUUUAUGAUUUUGCAGUUUCAAUAUUAAAGAUGUACUAUAG